rnacentral:lncRNA from 1 species
GCAAGCUCCUCGGACACUUCCUUCAUGGAUGGGCGGUUUACUCCUAUGCUAUUCAGGCAUCUUUUAGCAAGCUCAGCAACAGCUUCGAUCUCAUCCAUCUCAGCUUCAUCAGCAGCUUGAAAAUCCAAAAUUCCAAAAAGAUCAUUAUUUUCCAAUGCUGAGUUGAAGUACUGAAUAAAGUUCCGUUUAUUUCCUGAUUUGGCAUUUGAGUUUGGCUUCUCUCCAGUGAGAAGCUCCACAAGAACUACCCCAAAGCUAUACACAUCACUUUUUUCUGUUAAAUUACCCGUCAGAAGAUACUCUGGAUCCAGGUAGCCGAAAGUUCCUUGUAUUUUGGUGGCUAGAAUAUUGGUCUGGCCUGGAGAAAUAAGCACCGAAGCUCCAAAAUCUGCUACCUUUGCCGUGUAAUUAUCGUCUAAUAGAAUGUUCACCGACUUGACAUCCCCGUGAAUAACUGGAGGGUCUGCUAGAGAGUGCAAAUAAUCAAGCGCAAGAGCAGCCUCCGAUGCAAUCCUCAGACGAUUGCUCCAGGAAGCCAAUACCUGUGACCUUUUGUCAUGGAUGUGCUUGAAAAGGGUUCCAUUUGAGAUGAACUCGUAAACUAGUAAUGGCACUUUGGUCUCCAAGAACAGGCCCAGGAGUUUUACCACGUUCUUGUGGUUGACCUGUGAAACGACGCAGAUUUCAUGUUGGAAAUCCUCGUUCAUCUGAGCUUUGUCCACCCCCUUGGACUUCUUGACAGCAACUACUGUAUUGUCUGCUAAAAUUCCUUUGUAAACUGAACCGAAACCACCUUCCCCGAUUUUUUUAUCAUCGUCAUAAUUGUUGGUUGCUUUUGUCAGCUCUGCCUCACUGAAAAUCCUUACUCUUUGAUGCUUUAAAACCGUUCCCCCAUUUUCUCUGAAGUUCUUGUCCUUUCUUCUUUUACUCAAGAUCAUGAAGAGCAAUAGACAAAUAAUCACCAGGGAAACUAUUGCGCCUACGACUGCAUACAGAAAAUCAAUGGAAAACAAAUGAAUCUCUUGAACAGAAACGUUUCCAUGCCAUAUUUAGUGGCUAUGCUAAUCUCAUGUGUUGAGAGGGAGGAAUAAAGGAUGUAUGCAAAGCAGAAUCCAAUAGCAGGAGCUUAUUGGUUCUCCGAGUACUAAAGAUGUAGCUCUGGAAGCAGUCAAAGAGAGCAAUAGCAACCACUGGUAUAGAAGAAAAAUGCAAAGGACAUUUACCUGCUAUAAUGGUAGUGAUAGCAAAUCCUUGACAACCUAUUUUGCCAUCACCAUGCAUGCCAAGAGAACAUUUACAUUCGUAAUCUCCAAUGGUGUUGUGGCAUUUACCAUGACAUGUGUAUUUCUUGGGAUCCUUGCACUCAUCAAUAUCUGCAAACAUAACAAAUUAUGAGUUUACCUUAAUUCAAUACAAUUUAGUCUACACGAAUACAAAUUCUAGAAAAAAUCUGGCAGGUCUACGCAUUUAGAAGUUGUUUUGUUUUAUCAAUAUCUGAGAAUGAACAAUCUUUUAAUUUCAAUUACGUAACUACUGAAGGCAUCUGUCGCUUUACCUUGGCACCCUUGUUCAAGAUAUGGGUUUCCUUCGAAUCCUGCAUUGCAUGCGCAACGAUAUCCUUGACCAUUAUCGGAGUAAUAGCAAUUUGUAUUGAUGCCACAAGCAUAUGAACUCUUAUUGGCCUGAGCCUUUUCGCAUUUCUCGGUUUGAGCUACCCAUUCGAUCACAACAUUUGAUGUUUCAAAAUCUGUUGGAGUUCGAGAGAGUGGCCAAUCCGACAGGUCAAGGGAGUCUUUGUCCUCAAGGAAAGCAAAGCCACAAGGGUUAAAUUCGGAAACAUUCUUGUGGUUGUCAGUGCUCUGAAUGGUAAUAUUCAGAGACUUGAGACCCUUUGGAAUCGAGGUCUGGCAGCAUCCAGAACCUGAGCAGGAAUUAUUCUUUGACAUGGUAACAUUUCUAGUGCAUAAAGAGAGACAAGCAGCCCCGAAUGUCACCUCCUCGUUGGUCACCGUGGCAACGGUAUCACAACCAACUGCUGUGAACAUAUUUCGAGAGUCUGAAAAUGUGAAGGGGCCUGAUCCAAGUAUCAUAUACGAGUUGAAAAGCCUGUCCUGCAGCCCUGAUUUGUGAUAGCAAUCGAACGAUAUAUAAACGCCUGCAGUGACUGUGCCAUUCAGCAAUGAUAUAUUGCGAGCAGGCAUGUUCUCUCCAAACCACAGUUCAUGAUGACCAUCAUCAGUGGAAUUGCAAUCUAGAAAGAAGUUUUCAUUCAUGGCACAUCUUCGUUCCCCGAUCCCAAACGGGUAAGGAACAAUAACAUCCCCACACCUUUCUUGGCAGCCAUCUCUCACAUCUGGAUUUGCUGUUGUUGCAGCCACUAGUAGCAACAUCAUCAGCAAAAACACCCACCUCUGAAGUAUCAUUUUCUAUACACCACCACCCAACUUAAUAUAUGUAUACAAAGAAGCUCCAAACCAACUCUCUCCCGCUAACUUUUAAUUGUGCAACUUCAUAAUUUCCUGGUAGACAAUAUAUAGCUAAGAGAGACUGACAGAAAACACUCAUCAUAUGACCAAUUCUGAGAUGAUCAGGUCAACGAAUCUAUUCUUUCUGUAAUGAGGCCCAGUAAUGAAUCAUGAAGACUAAAAUAAAUGAUGCGAAAGAAACCAAUAGGAGAAACAGUCAGGGAAAAGAAAAGUCCCUCCAUAGAAUACAGUAUACCCCACACAGGCAGCCAUAUUGGAAUAUUUUCUCGUUUCUGCAAGCUAAGGUAUUAUAAUCCAGUUACGGUUUAAAAAGUUAACAGUAGUAAUUGAUUUUUUUGUUUUAUUUUUUUUAGAUUUAUAUAUUUUUUUAUUCAAUUAAUUUAUUCUCAUUUAAUUUUUAUUUUGUUAAAAAAUAAGAUUAUUGAGACGUUUUGAAAAUAUCAUAAAGAUAUAUUUUUAUAAUAUUGACAAACAUUCAUCGAUAUCUUUUACAAAUAAUUAUUGUUUUUUUUCCCGUUUUAUUUGUUGUUGAUAUCUUAUUUUUUAAUGAUAUUAUUAAAUUAAUCAAGUUUACUAAAUUCAUUUGAAUCAAUUUCCUGAACGUUAUAUUUUUAAUUUUUUUAAGAUAUAUUUAACUUUUUUUAAUAUUUUUUGUGCGAUAAAAAAAGAGUUAGCAUGUGACAUAGCACAGACCAUUGAACCAGUGCUACCUAGAAGUGGUCAAGCAUUGUACCAAGUAUCCAUUUGUGUUUUUUGUUUUAAAGUGUUUUUGAAAAAAAUAAAAAAAUUAUUUUUAUUUUAAAUUAAUUUUUUAGUAUUUAAUUUUAGAUCGUUUUGAUGUAUUAAUAUUAAAAAUAAAAUUUAAAAAAUAAAAAAUAUUUUAAAUUUUUUUUAAGUGCAAAGUAAUUUAAAAAACAUAUGUUAACACACUGCUAAAUGUGAAGUGAAUCACUGGCACCAAAAUUACUAAAUGAUAUCUUUAAUUAUCUCAGGAGUGGAAAAGAUUUAACAUGGACAUGGGAGCUUUGGCAGCACCUUUCCCAGGUCAUUUUCAGCCCAUGAUAUGCCUACAAAUCUUGAAAUCUGAAUUAAUGAAAUCCCCUCUUAAAUAUAUUAUAAUACCUGAAAUGUAAUUAAUAAUUUGUAACAAGAAACAGAACUAUUUCUGUUAAAAAUACCAUUAUUAUUAUUAUUAUUAUUAUUAUUAUUAUUAUUAUUAUUAUUAUUAUCACUAAUCAUUUCUUCAUUGUUGUUUUGCUGCUGCUGUUGUUAUUAUUGAUGUAAUAAAUUAGUGAAUUAAUUAGGAGAGUAUCUUAAUGAUUAGUAGGUUAAUUAAUACAAACUCAAAGGGUACUAGUUUUUCAAUUAUUAUUUUUAAUUGUGUUACUUUGAUGAUUUUUUUAUUUACUGUGUUAAAAAAAACCCCUCUUGGUUCAGGUACUCUUCUUUCUGUGAUGCUCUUACUCCGACCUCUCAACUUCUUCGUUGGUAUCUUAUGGUGACCACAUCCGCUGGCAUGUGAGUGGUGUAGACCGACGUCUGUGGCCCCAAUUCUUUUGGAAAAUUCAGUCUUUCUUGUAUUAUUUUAUUUAAUCCUAUUGGAAAAUAUCCCAUCCUAAGUCAAUAGACAAUGAGGCCUGAAGACUAAAACAAAUGUUGUGAAGGAAACUAUAUAUAUAUAUAUAUAUAUAUAUAUAUAUAUAUAUAUAUAUAUAUAUAUAUAUAUAGGAGAAACAGACAAUGAAAAGAAAACUCCAUCCUCAUAAUACAGUUCUAUCGGGGGAUACCCCACCACAGAGACAGCCAUUUUGGAAUAUUUUAUUCUUUAGGUUCCCUUUUCCUCAAGGUAUGUUGUAGAUCUCAUUGGAAGAUUUACUCUUUGAAAAUGAACAUAAAGCGUGUUAGUUUUCUUCUUCACAAAGCGUUUUUAAAGGUUUUUGAAUUCUUUUUCUUUAAAUUCUUUUUUUUUAUAUAUAUUUUAAUCGUUUUGAAACUGCAGCGUUUCCAAACAAGCCCUCGCAGUCUUUACUCAAAAGGGAUGUUUAACAACUAUGCUUGAAACAAAGCAGAUGCAUACAAUUUCUUCUUUCAAGAUUCUUUUCCUUUUUUAUUACAUGCGAGUAAUUCGUAGAAGAUGAUCAUACACUGUCAAACACUCAAGACUUUCCUUAACCUCAAGUAAGUACUGAACACCUUUUCUACGUAUAGGUGAGAGUUUGUCGAGUUCAACUAGAAUACAGAGUAUGAUUAAUUCGAGGAAAUCCCGGUCUCGAAUAUUUAAUUGAUGGUAAAUGUUUUUGAUGUUUUUUCAUUAACAAGAAGAUUUUAAAUAUAAUUGGGAAUAACAACUGACCGAAUUACCAGCACUCAAAUCAUAAAAAUAACAUAACUACUUAUGCUGAUAUUCACCUAACAACCCAAGCUGAAGACCUAUUCUUAAGCUAAAAUACUUGGCUGUAAAUCAACAAAUUAAGAACAAGUCUUAACCUGAUACCAUGUAUAAUUAUUGGACUCAACAUCAAACUUAACUGCACUCUAGACUUAACUAAAUUAAAUAAUAAGAAAUAAAUAUCUCAUUAGGAUAAUUCUUUUGGAAAAUUCAGUCUUUCUUGUAUUAUUUUAUUUAAUCCUAUUGGAAAAUAUCCCAUCCUAAGUCAUUAGACAAUGAGGCCUGAAGACUAAAACAAAUGUUGUGAAGGAAACUAUAUAUAGGAGAAACUGACAUCUGUGGUUCCAUGAGACCACUUCUUUUUAAAAAUUCUGUCUUUCUUUUAUUUAUUUAUAUUCCUAUUGAAAAAUAUCCCAUCGUAAGUCAUUUGUCAAAGAGGCCCCAGUGCUCAAUCAUGGAGACUAUAAUAAAUGUUGUGAAGGAAACUAUAUAUAGGAGAAACAGACAAUAAAAAGAAAACUCCAUCCUGAGAAUACAGUUCUAUCGGGAUACCCCACCACAGAGGCAGCCAUUUUGGAAUAUUUUAUUCUUUCUGCAAGCCAGGUUCCCUUUUCCUCAAAUACAAAUGGCAAUGUUUUCUCUUUGGAAAAUUUUACUUCUGAGAACUAACAAAGUGUGUUUGUUUACUUUUGAGAACGAACGAAAAUUUUACUUUUAAAGCAUUUUUUAUUUUUUUAAUAAAUUAUUUUUACGACCAACAAGCUCUUCACCCAGACUCUACAGUCUGGUGACAUGUUCAUGUUCCCUAAGGGUCUUGUCCACUUCCAAUACAACGCGGAUUCUCAGAAUUCAGCUCUCGCAAUCUCUGCUUCCGGAAGUGCUAGUGCAGGGACCGUAUCACUUCCUACCACCCUUUUCGCCACCAGCAUUGACGAUAACAUCUUGGCCAAGGUCUUCAAGACUGAUGUUGCCACCGUUCAAGCUCUCAAGGCUGGUCUUACGCCUUGAGGAUGGGCUCCAUAAUUACCAUUCUUUACUUGUUAUUCUUCUUAUGUUUUACUUUCCCCCUACUCUCUCUUUCAAUCUGCUGAUGAUUUGUAUUGAAUAAUCGCCCCCAAUAGCCUAACAGGCCGGUGCAUAAAUUGUUCGUUUGUUCUUUGCUCAAUCACAUUGCUAGCGUCUAUCUACCAUAUAUAUCAAACUACUCAUAGUUAUUGCACUCGAUCGAUUGAAAAUUCUAUUAUCGUGUCAUUUUGUAUUUUUAUUUCUUUUUUAGACAGAUGAAGAAUACUGAUCGAUGUUUGUAACGAUCUAUCAUUUAAAUCAAACUAAUGACUACAAAAACAAUAACAUUGUAAUGUUCAUCGAUUGUUAUUAUCAAUAGCCUGCUGUAUACGUGCAUGCAUGGUUGCCUCUCUGUUACUUUCUCCUCUCUCUCUCUCUCUCUGCAUAUAUAAAUCUUCCAAAACCUGAGCACAUCAUCAGAAAUACCAUGUCCAACGUCUUUACACUACUAGAAAUUCAUCUAAAACCAAUAAAAUUCCUAAUAGAAUAAUUUUAUCAGUAAAUUGUGAUGAUAAUUAUCGAAGGAAUAUUUUUUAGUUUUUUUCUUGGCCGUUUUAUUUCUUUGCAAUUUAUUUCUUUAAUUAUAAUUGGUCAUUUUUUUUAAUUUGAUAGUUAUUCUUUUAAUUUUUAAUUUUUUUCAUUGGCUUUUUUAUAAAAGUUUUAUUAGUUUUCAAUUUUAUCUUUCCAUCAAAGUUUAUGAUGUGUUAUUUUUUUAAAAAAAUUGGUUCUCAUUCUUUUAUUUUUUUGUUGGAGGUAUUUUUCUUUUAAAUUUAACCCUCCAUUCAAAAACUUUUAAUUGCCCUCUAAUUUAUUUUUUAUUUUAAUUUUCAUUAUCAUUCUUUUAAUUACUAUUUUUUAUUUUAGAUUCUUUUGUGUUGUUAAUUUUUACCCUCUGUUUUAUUCUUCAACGUUUAAUUAAUUUGUUAGGGAUUAUGCUUCACCAUUUUUUCAUGCAUGAUGCUUCUAGUUUAAUAACCCAGAGUACAUAUUUGAAAAGUUGAUGUUGGUUGAUAUAUUUUUUUUACUUAUUUCUUUUUCAAUUCCAUCAUUUAGCAUUAGUGUUUUUUUUUUUUAAGAAUUCACCAUGUUGUUUUCUUUGAUUUUUUUCUAUAGAAUUAUCCCGAUCUCAUAACAUGAAUCAUGAAUUUUGCGUCACACCACAUGUUGACUUGCCCUUUAUUAUUUAUUUCAUCAUCAUUCAGCAUUAGUGUUUAUUUUCAAGAAUUGACUUUGUUGUUUUCUUUGAUUUUUUUAUAUAAAAUUAUUCCGAUCUCAUUACCUGAGUUAUGAGUUUUGCAGCACACCAGAGUUUGGCUCGCCCUUUAUUAUCUAUAUUACAUAUUUAUUGCAAUAUCUCUAGUUGAAUUAGAUUUUUAUCCUUUUUUAUCUAAUUUUGCAGCUCUAUGAAUUUUUUCACAUGGUUUCAUGUUUUUUAUUUAAGAAUUGUUUGUUUGUAGUUGUUGCAUAUUCUUUUAUCAUCUAAUUAAAUUUAAACCAACUUAAAAGAAUGAACAUAACUUUAACUUCAACAGGACCAUCCGGCCACCAUAGGGUAUUUGCCAUAACAGAAACAGAGGAGAGCUUGGGACUUUUACCCAUAAAUUAGCCUACAAGACAAUAAUCCCAGCCUUUGAUUCCAUUAGCAACAAUCUGAGGAGGGACUGUAACAAACCAGUUUCCGUUCUCCUUCAGUGGAUGACCCAGAAACUCAAGCAUUCAAAGAUGUCCCUUCUAGGCACACCAAGAUCACUCCAUUUCUUCUUGUGAUUUGCUAUAUUUUCCCGAGGGGAGAAGAGAAAUAAUAAGAUUAAGGAGAACGUGAGCAAGAUUUAUAUAGAAGAAAAAACAGUGACAACGAUGGCUUAAAGCAUUUUCGCAAAAACAAAUACCGAAACAAAUGGUCUUAAGUUUAUCCAAGAACAUUAGGAAAAAAGAAAAAGGAAAAACUUACAGAGUCGAGACACGUUUCUUAUUAAUGGAUCACCAAGUCUUGAAAGGGACCAAAGGUUCGACGUCAGAUGAUGAUAGAGCCUGAUCAACUUGAAAACUGCUGCAAGUAAUUGAUGUAGAAGCAUCAUCCCACGCACUGACUACUUCAGCCGUGAUGCUCUCAGCUUCUUCGUUAUUUUGUUGAACGUUCUUCUUUUGUGACAAUUGAAUGAUCCUCUCCAACUCUGAUGUGACUUGUUUCAUUGUCGGUCGCUUUUUUCCAUUCAAAUUCAAGCAUCUCAUUGCAAUAUUAGCUACACAGAUGACAUCCUCCUUGGGGCAGUGCUCCUUAAUUUGAGCAUCAACAAUAUCUAAAAUUCUGUUCUCUUCCAUCAAAAGAACAAAAUGUGCAGCCAAGUUUUUGCGUUCUUGUGACUCGUUUGUAAGAAUUGCUUUUUGUCCAGUUAAGAGCUCAGCAAGAACUACUCCAAAACUAUAAACAUCACUCUUAUCUGUAUACUGACUGGACCAAAAGUAUUCUGGGUCCAAGUAACCAUAGGUGCCUUGCACACUAGUCGUCAAAUGAGUUUGAUAAACGGAGAGUGAUCUUGAAGUCCCGAAAUCAGCAAUCUUUGCUCGAUACUUGUGAUCUAAGAGUAUGUUGGUGGACUUUAUAUCUCGAUGAUAAAUUGGAAUGGAAGCUGCUGAGUGAAGAUAGCAAAGUGCUCCGGCAGUUUCAGCAGCAAUCUGUAAUCUCAUUUCCCAUGAUAAAGGGAACUCCUCGUUUUGGCGAAGGAGAUACUCGGAAAGAGUUCCAUUAGGAAUAAAUUCAUAAACUAAAAGAGGAACUUCUGCCUCCAAACAGCAACCAAGUAGCCUGACUAUAUUUCUUUGGUUGAUUUGUGAAAGAAUACAGACCUCGUUGAUGAAUCCUUCAAGGUUUUCUUCACCCACCAUUGUGGACCUUUUGACCGCAACAAUUACUCCAUCUGCUAGCAUCCCUUUGUACACGGUACCUUGGCCACCUUGACCAAGUAUCCUAUUCACAUUGAAACCAUCUGUGGCAGUUUCCAACUCCUCUGAGCUAAAUACUUUGGUUUUGGAAAUACCACCUUGAUCACUUGAGGAUAAAUGUUGCUGUAACAGUAGACCACCAUUCUGUCUGAAAAACUUCUGUUUCAGUUUGAUGCUCUUCCUUUUCUCCAUGGUUUUGUAUAGCCACCAGCUACCACUAACCAGUAACAACACUCCAACAACUCCAACAACAGCUGCAUUUCUCAAAAAAAAAUUAAAAAAUAAUAAUUUCAUGAUUGAUCAUUAUUUAAUGUUCAUAUUAAGAGUCCAUUUUGGGAAUGCAGUAGUAUAUGCGUUCUCAAAAUCAGAAGCAACAAAAGUAUAUUUGGAAAUGUAGUACUCUAUAUGCGUUCUCAAAAUCAGAAGCGACAAAAGUAUAUUAGAGUUUUACUGUGUUCCCAAAACGGUCUCUAAAUCUAGUAAGAUAAAUAGCUCAAUCUAAAAGUAUAUUUUCAUUAAUUAUAAAAAAUCUAUAAGUCAUAAUAUAAUAGAUAUGAAUAUCUAAUUAUAUACCGAUUGAGUCAUUAAUCAUUAUUAUAUUGCAAACAAAAGUUAAUCGAUGAGCAGUAUUGAAAUUUUCUUAUUUCUAUAACAUUUUCAAAAAUUAUAAUUUUUUUAAUUUCUAAAGCUUUAUACAAAAUUUUAAAUGGUUGAGCAUCUUCAAAUAGGUUUUGUCAUAGUUUUUCGAGGCAAAAAAAUUAUUCCUUUAAAGUUUUAAAAAAUUUAAAUUUAUUUUAAGAAAUUUAUUUUUUAUGUUUCAUGAGAUUUUCAAGAAAGAAAAGGAUGAUCCACUUUUAUUUAUUUAUUUAUUUUAUCCUAUGAGAGAAUAACUUGUCAUUAAAUAUUGACUUUGAGUGGCAUAUGCAACAAAGCAUUGGCGAGAGAAGGGGCUAUCACUUUUCAAUUAUUUUCAAAUAAAAUUCUAUGAUAGAUUUUCAUAUUUUGAAUAUUUUUUAAAAUAAAAAAUAAACCAGUUUUUCGAUUCGUCUAAUUUUGUAAUUGAACUGAAAUUAAACUGAAUUAUAAAACCUAGCAAAGUGAAUUAGAUGAACAAAACUAACAUAGCUAGUUUUGGCGUCGAUUUUCAUGGUGUCGAGGAGAGUGGCACAGCUGGUCACGGUGCUGCUGCUAGAAAUUGCGAGGAGAUCAGGUGGUUGGUUUUUCGGAGGAGUUCGGGUGUUUUGUGAGGCUACUGCUGUCAGGAUGAAAGGAGGAAGAAGGAGACAGUCCAUCUGUGGAUUUCCAGCUGGAGUUGGCGUGGAUUUGAUGGUUUGGAGGAAGAGUGGCGCGGAUGGUUCGUCUGGCUAUGGUGGCUGGGAUGGUGGAUCUGUGGCGGCUGGUAUCUGGUGGAGAGAGAAGUGGGGAAUGGUAGUUUUGUAUUUUUAUCUUUAGGGUUGUUUUAUUAGGGGUCAUUUUAUUUCGUAGCUAUACAGUGUUGGCAAGUCUUAUAACAUUAUUUUAUUAUUUAUUUUAAAAUAUAUUAAAAUAAUAUUUUUUAUUUUUUAAAAUUAUUUUUAAUAUUAAUAUAUUAAAACAAUAUAAAAAUAUAAAAAAUAAUUUUUUAAAAAUAUAAAAUUUUAAAAAACACAAUUUCAAAACCAAUCAGCCACUCAAUAUGCUUGCAUAAAUUACAUAUAGGAUAAUUGAAAAACAAGGAAUACGUGCCACUGCCACGUAAGAAGUGGAUGCAUACGAAUGACAUUAAUUACCUGCAAUAAUAAUUGUGAUGAUGCGAAACCCAAGGCAACCUCUCUUGCCAUCACCAUGCAUGCCAAGUGGACAUUUACAUUCGUAAUUCCCAAUGGUGUUAUGGCAUUUACCAUGACAUGGGUAUCUCUUGCCAUCCCUGCACUCAUCGAUAUCUGUGAACAUAACAAAUUACGAAUUUACAUUAAUUCAACACAGUGAAAGUUCUAAGAAGUUCUGAGGAGUUGUUUCGUUUUACCAAAUUAUGAAUUUACUAUAACUGUGGAUUUUGAAGUUGUUUUGUUUCAAGUAUAUCUGAGAAGAGGAAUGAACAGUCUUUUAAUUUCAAUCACUCAACUAGUGAAGGCAUCUGUCACUUUACCUUGGCAUCUGUCACGGGGUUAAAUUUUUCGCAACUAAACUUAACCCAAUGCGGCAGUCUAGCCCCAACUAGACUCAGCCUUGCCUCACCCUUUCACUCGUGUUUUCCUACGACUAUGUGUUUCGCUCACUCAAGGAGGUUCUCACACUCGCCUCGUCGUAGACAACAAAUAAACACAAGCAACACAAGCACACUAGAGUUUUACAAGAAUCCCUCUCAACCUUUAUUUAUCUCGUCAACAAAGGAAUACACAAAAAUGGUGUGUGCUAUGCACAAAUCGCAUGCUACACAGCAGAGGCUUGGCAGCCUAUUUAUAGCCAAAUGUGAGAUUCCAUCCUCACCCAUAAUCCCCUAAUUUCGGGGCAUAGUGGAGCAUUAUCUCCCGCAUGAUCACCCUUUACAUGGACUAGUGGAGCACUACCUUCCCCAUUAUCCUUAGUGGGUUGGUGAAGCACUUUGUCCUCCAUUAUUUGGCCCCUCCACCCAUGAUUCUGCCUGCCCUCAUAGCAGCCCCAAUUGUCUGCCUUGCUGUGUCAGCUGCUGACUUAGAAAGUCCAUUGUCUAAGCCCCACGUCCAUGCCAAGUCGCCAGCUCAAAGAUUUGCACAGACCCUUGCACGCUGCCUGCCGAAUUCGUUUCUGCCGCAGUCCAUCGCUGCCGAAUUCUAGGCAAUGUGCCUUCGUUGGCGCGCCCCGCGCCUAGACUUCUAACAGCAUCCUUUUUCAAGAUAUGGGUUUCCUUAAUUCGAACCCUUCAUUGCAUGCGCAACGAUAUCCUUGACCAUUAUCGGAUUAGUAGCAAUUUGUAUUGAUGCCACAAGCAUAUGAACUCUUAUUGCCCUGAGCAUUUUCGCAUGUCUCGGUUUGAGCUACCCAUUCGAUCACCACAUUUGAUGUUUCCAAAUCUGUUGGAGUACGAGAGAGUGGCCAAUCCGACAGGUCAAGGGAGUCUAUGUCCUCAACGAAAGCAAAGCCACAGGGGUUAAAUUCGGAAACAUCCACGUGGUUGCUAAUGCUCUGAAUGGUAAUAUUCAUAGACUUGAGGCCCUUUGGAAUCGAGGUCUGGCAGCAUCCAGAACCUGAGCAGGAAUUAUUCUUUGACAUGGUAACAUUUCUAGUGCAUAAAGAGAGACAAGCAGACCCGAAUGUCACCUCCUCGUCGGUCACCAUGGCAGUGGUGUCACAACCAACAGCUGUGAACACAUUUCGAGAGUCUGAAAUUGUGAAGGGGCCUGAUCCAAGUGAGAUAAACUGAUUGAAAAUCCGCGACCUCCGCCCUGACUUGUCAUAGCAAUCGAACGAUGCAAAAAUGCCUACAGUGACUGUGCCAUUCAGCAAUGAUAUAUUGCGAGCAGGCAUGUUCUCUCCAAACCACAGUUCAUGAUGACCAUCAUCAGUGGAAGUGCAGUCUAGAAAGAAGUUUUCGUUCAUGGCACAUCUUUGUUCCCCAAUCCCAAACGGGAAAGGAACAAUAACAUCCCCACACCUUUCUUGGCAGCCAGGUUUCACAUCUGGAUUUGCUGUUGCUCCUGUUACUGCAGCCACUAGUAGCAACAUCAUCAGCAAAAACACCCACCUCUGAAGUAUCAUUUUCUAUACACCACCACCCAACUUAAUAUAUGUAUACAAGGAAGCUCCGAACCAACUCUCUCCCGCUAAUUUUUAAUUGUGCAACUUCAUUUCCUGGUAGACAAUAUAUAGCAAAGAGAGACUAACAGAAAACACUCAUCAGAUGACAUAGAUGAUCAGGUCAAUGAAGUCAAUUGCGAGUCAUUUCUUCGAUCUUUCUUUUAUAGCAAUCCAAAAUUAACCCAAAUGUGACGUAAUUAGAUUUAUUGUAUUAAGAUUUCUAUUCUUUCAAGUUCGGAAAAUAUCCCAUCCGAAGUCAUGAGUCAAUGAAUCGUGAAGACUAAAAUGAAUGGUGUGAAAGAAACCAAUAGGAGAAACAGACAGGGAAAAGAAAAGUCCCUCCUGAGAAUACAGUAUACCCCACAAAAGGCAGCCAUAUUGGAAUAUUUUCUUGUUUUUGCAAGCUAAGGUUCCCUUUCCUCAAUAAAAAUGGGCAUGGAAAAUUUACUUCUGAGAAUGAACAUAACUUUAUCAUAGUAAACUUCAACAAGAACAGCCUUUGGGACUUUUACCCAUAAAUUAACCUACAAGACAAUAAUCCCAGACUUUGGCGCCAUUAGCAACAUUUAUGUUUAGUGAUUUCGGUAUUAUAAUCUAGAUUAUAAUUUAAAAAAAUAAUAGUAAUUAAAUUUUUUUUGUUCUAUUAUUUUAAAUUCAUAUUUUUUUAUUAUUUUUCUUUCUAUACAAUUAUCCUAUUCUCAUUUAAUUUUUAUUUUGUUAAGAAAUAAAAUCAUUGAGAUGUUUGGGGAAUAUUAUGAAAAUAUAUUUUCAUAAUAUUAGUAAGCGUUUAUUUUUUGUAUUGAUUUUUUUUUCGUUUUAUUUGUUGUUGGUAUCUUAUUUUUUAAUGAUAUUAUUAAAUUAACCAGGUUUAUUAAACUCAUUUGAGUUAAUUACCUAAACAUUAUAUUUUUUAUUUUUUAAGAAAUAUUUAAUUCUUUUUUAUUUUUUUUAUGCUAUAAAAAAAAUUAACCCUCGGUAUAGCAUAGACCACCUAAUUAGUUGUACCAAGCGUCCAUUUAUUUUUUCUUUCCAUAGUGUUUUUGAAAAAAAUUAAAAAGAUUAUUUUUUAUUUUUCAUUAAGUUUUUAGUAUUUUUAGAUAGUUUUUAUGUGUUAAUGUUAAAAAUAAAAUUUAAAAAAUAAAAAAAUAUUUUAAUAUAUUUUUAAGUAAAAGUAAUUUAAAAAACAUAUGUUAACAGACUGCUAAAUGUGAAGUGUAUCACUGGCACCAAAAUUACUAAAUGAUAUCUUUAAUUAUCUCAGGAGUGGAAAAGAUUUAACAUGGACAUGGGAGCUUUGGCAGCACCUUUCCCAGGUCAUUUUCAGCCCAUGAUAUGCCUACAAAUUUGAAAUCUGAAUUAAUGAAAUCCCCUCUUAAAUAUAUUAUAAUACCUGAAAUGUAAUUAAUAAUUUGUAACAAGAAGAAUAUCAUUAUUAUUAUCACUAAUCAUUUCUUCAUUGUUGUUUUGCUGCUGCUGCUGUUAUCAUUGAUGUAAUUAAUUAGUGAAUUAAUUAGGAGAGUAUCUUAAUGAUUAGUAGGUUAAUUAAUACAAACUCAAAGGGUGCUAGUUUUUCAAUUACUUUUUUAAUUGUGUUACUUUGCUAUCUCUGUUUAGUUUUAGUAUCUUGAUGAUUAAACUUGCUCAAAGCAGCAGCAGCAGCAUUCACAAGAGGGGUUGAAAAAGGCUCUCAUACCUCUUUGAAAAACUGCAGUUCUUCCAUCCUUUCACACUCUCCUCAUCCUCAACGUUUGUGAUAUAUCCCACAGUUUUGCCAACAUUAAAAAAAUUAUUGGAAGCAAUGGUUGUUUAGUCUGAAAUCAAUGCAACAUCAAAAUUUAUAAAGAUUCAGUGUUAAACAAAUAAGAUUCAAGAGGAUGGUUAAAGGGGAGAUAACAUGACGUGACAUGAGGGAGAUGGAGAAGGGAAAGAAAAAGUAUCUUAAACCAAAAUUUAACCCAAAUGUGAUGUAAGAAAAGUCUAGUGGAAUUGGAUAUUUUAAUAAUAAAAUUAUAAAUUAAAGUUGUUUGGACGACAGAAAAGGAAAGGGUUCUUUCCCAGCUAGCUUUUAAGCACUGGUUCAGCUGCUCAUCUUUCUGUGAUGCUCUUACUCCGACCGCUCAACUUCGUCGUUGGCAUCUUGUACUGUUCCCUCCCUGUCUGUCCACCUCUCCGAAGACACUAUCUUGGGUGGUGACCACAUCCUCUGGGAUGUGAUGUUAAUUUGGACAUAGAAUCGAGUCCUUGUGAAUGGGCAGAGCCAGGGAACUGACGUCUGUGGUCCCAUGAGGCCAAUUCUUUUAAAAAUAAAAAAUAAUUAAAAUCUCUAAAGAUUAUUGUUCCAAACAAAUUAUAUGAAAGAUCUAGCAAAAAUAUUUAUAAACUAAUGGAAUAGAUCUAAGCGUAAAAAGAGAUCUGGUUAUGCCAUAUCAGAACAACUGUUCAAAAGAGUUGUAAAUUUUGAUCCGACCAUUGAAUUACACUUAAAAUUUUACAAGAGUUUCUAGGGGCUAUUUUUUUUAUUGUAGCUACUGCAUAGCUAAAUAGAUUGUCGGAUCUUUGAAUAUAAAAAAUCUCGCCGAGACCUUAUGGUUUUGAUAAAUUUGAGAUUUUUCUUGUUAUUUUUGGGAAUCCGUUGGCUGGUUUCACUGAUCUUUACGAACCGGUUGACUGGUUGAGCCAGAAACAACAUAGUUUGACCAUGUCGUAUUUUUAAAACAUGACAUCGUCAAACUAUGUUAUUUUGUCAAAUUUUUUUGCUUCUAUAUAAUUCGUUAAUUUUUUUAAUUUUGUGUUCUAAUUGCACAAUUUAUCCCUUUUUUCUCAUUUUUAAUUUUGUGUUCCAAUUGCACAAUUUAUCCCUUUUUUCUCAUUACAAAUGGGUUGUUUUUUCAUUGGAAAAUUUACUUUUAAGAAUGAACAUAAAGUAUGUUUGUCUUCUUCUUCUUUCAAAAAACGUUUUUAAAGAUUUUAAAUUUUUUUUUCUUUAAAUUAAAUUUUUUUUAAUCAAUUUGAAAAUGAGCAAUCAUUUUUUUUUAUGUUUUUUAGUAGGUUAAAACAUCGUUUCCAAACAAGCCCUCGCCGUCUUUACUCAAAACAAAAGGGAUGUUUAACAACUAUGCUUGCAACAAAGCAGAGGACAAACCAUGCAUACAAUUUCUUCUUUCAAGAUUCUUUUCUUUUUUUAUUACAUGCGAGUAAUUCGUAGAAGAUCAUACACUGUCAAACACUCAAGACUUUCCUUGACCUCAAGUAACUGAACACCUUUUCUACGCAGAUGAGAGUUGCAUGUGAUUUCAAGGAACAGUAUUAAGCUAAGAUUUCAGCAAAGCGGGGAAACUUGCUCAAAGCAGUAGCAUUCACAACAGGGGUUGAAAUGGCUUUCAUACCUCUUUGAAAAACUGCAGUGCCAUGGACUUCAUGCUGCCCCUUCAUCGAGAACACAUGCUCGCGCCGGUUCUUUGGUCGUGCUCGAUAAAAUCUAGUGCAUCUUCCUUGGAGACAACAUUGACACGGCUCACCCUGUUUUUGUGUGUCACCACAUAUAACUUGUCAGCAACCUUCACAAGUUCUGGCCUGAAAGUGGUGGUUAUAAAUUGUGUGUUUGCCAUAUCAGCCAGGCGACGAAUCAUGUCUAGCGAACAAAGUAAUUAAGGAUCACCUCCAAUGGUUACAUCUGAUUAAUAAACAAUAGCUAAAUACAAUACAGGGCACACAUAACUACACACCAACAGCACUUUAGAUUUUCUGUAUCCACAUUUCUGCAGAAAAAUAAACGCAGACCUUCACUUUCACACCUAUGUAUUUCUCAACCCUUCCCUCCAAAUCUGCCUCACGAGGUCCGUCAUCAUCAUAAUCAUCAUCCCCAUGAUCACCUUCAUGUCAAGAUACCAUAGAUGUAAGCCAUGACAUUUUUAAAAUGCACUCCUACAGCAUCAAAAUCAAGAAGAAUACUGAUUAAGCUUGGAAAACAAUAAAAAACACAAAUGAAAAAUGAUUUUUAUUUAAAAUUUUUUAAAAUCAACUAAAUAAAUCAGUAAUAAAACAAUUAAUUAAUCAAUCAAACCCAAAGUAAAAUCUUCAAAACUCUAAUCUUCAACAAAACAAAAAAUCAAAGCUAAAUAACAUAAUUAUACAUAACAAUCUCAUAUUUUAAACUUAUUUUCUUUACCUAUCUUCUGAUUCCUUUAUCUCUUUCCCUCUUCUCUAUUCUUCUUUCUCCCUUUUCUUCUCUCGUGCCUGUUCUCUUUCUCUCAAAUUAGAUUUUCCUCUUUUUAUUUUUUUUAUUCUAUUUAUAUUUGUCAAGCUUUAUUCAAUUAUAACAAUACAUCUUAUUUAUUUAUACCUAUAUUUAAGCCUCCAAGUGCCUUUUCCAAUUUAUUUUUCCAAAACAUCACAAUUAAAAUUACGUAGGUGUUGUAACGGUGUUAGAAUGCAGAUUUAUUUAUUAAAUUUCAACUGCUCUAUUUUAAGGCAAUAAUUGAAGUCAAAACCCUAAACUUAUUCUAACAGUAGACGUUGCGAAAUUCUUGUUCAGAGAAAACAAGCCAUGAGAUUGUAUUUUCCUGAUAGAUACAUAAUUAAUUCCGCUAAAAAAUGAUGGGUGAGACUGCUGCAAACAGUGUUGCUUUUGCUUUUGAUAUUCUCUACUUCUUCUCUAUGUGAUUUUUGAUUUGUGCAACUGUUGGAUUGUCUAACAGAGUUGGCACUUCAUAUACUCGUUCAAUUGCUUCCCAUAGAUCAUUAGCAUAGAUCAUUAACAUCAAGAUAGGCUUCAAUUCUAACAGCCCAUACUUGAUAAUUGAUCCCAUCAAAUAUUGGAGGUGCAACUGUAGUAAAUGGCAUUUUUAAGUUCAUACUGGAUGUGUUGUGUUUAGAUGAAAAGUAUUUGAAGGUUGUGUUUAGGAUCUCUCAAUCUCACAAGGAUCUCUCAAUCUCACAAGUCCCUCAAUCUCACAAGUCCCUCAAGAAAAUUAACUCUGAUACCAAUUUGUUAUAUAUAUUGAAGAGAAAACAAAAUUUUGUUGUUGUAGUUGCAGCAGAACACAUUACUUUAUUGAUUUUCAAUACAAUUAUUUAUACAAUAAGAAAAAACAGAAUUGCAAGAUAUUUUCCUAGGAUAUCUGAUUUUCUGUUACAUGGAAUAAAAAUAGCCAUUAGACUAGCAACAAGAAACAAACUCUAAUACUGUAAACAAACUCACAUUCUGCUGAGAUUUUGUUUUGUUUCUAGAGUCAUUCUUGGUCAACACCAAGCAUGAAGUAUCUGACGAGUUAUCUAGGCUAACAGCACUUCAUGAAUGCUUGUGCGGUCAGAAAAAUAGUGGAGAUAUAAUCUUUGCCAGGCAAAUCAUCACUCUUCUCCAUGAGAAUGCAAGUCCUUGAAUAAGUGAACCAAAGAUGGGUUCCUUAUUGAAGUCCAGAAAUUCCGCUACAAUCACAAAGUUCAAUUAAAUGCUACGUUGAAGUCCAAAAUCAUGCUGAUCGCUUUAUUAUGAUCUUUAUAUCACAUCUCAGGAAUGGCAUUUCGGUCCAUGGUUCCACAAAAUCUACCAUGCAAGGUAAAUUAAUCGCUUUAUUAUGAUCUUUAUCCUGUAAACCCACAAUUUUUACUUUACAUGAUGAAAAAAGAAAGGAUAAAUCCAGAAACAUGUUGAGCUUGCAGGAUCCUGGAGACAAUAAUACUCAAUCACUACCAAUAAAGCUGCAACUUAAUCAAACAAACUAUUUAGUACACGCUUGACAACAAUUUCUUGGCCCUCCGAAAGUGCAGCAUGUUUCCUUGGCAAAUUCCAAUUUUAAAUGCUAUCGGUGUAGUUUUCAAUCUCCAAGGAUAUGACAGUUUGGGAUUGACUCGUGGGAGGACUUGCGUUGUUGCGGAAAGAUUGUGAUGAUUCGCCUAGCAAGUGCUCUGUCUCAUCGCUAUUUUGCUGGGCCCAUGAUUUCUGAUUAAGGGCUUUCAGCUUAGCAAGCUCCUCUGACACUUCCUUCAUGGAUGGGCGGUUUACUCCUGUGCUAUUCAGACAUCUUUUAGCAAGCUCUGCAACAGCUUCUAUCUCAUCCAUCUCAGCUUCAUCAGCUGCUUGGAAAUCCAAAAUCCCAAAAACAUCAUUAUUUUCCAAUGCUGAGUUGAAGUACUGAAUAAAGUUCCGUUUCUUUCCUGACUUGGCAUUUGAGUUUGGCUUCUCCCCUGUGAGAAGCUCCACAAGAACUACUCCAAAGCUAUAGACAUCACUUUUUUCAGUUAAAUUACCCG